rnacentral:rRNA from 1 species
CCUACGGGAGGCAGCAGUGAGGAAUAUUGGUCAAUGGGCGCUAGCCUGAACCAGCCAAGUCGCGUGAAGGAUGACUGCCCUAUGGGUUGUAAACUUCUUUUAUAUGGGAAUAAAGUGCAGUAUGUAUACUGCUUUGCAUGUACCUUAUGAAUAAGGAUCGGCUAACUCCGUGCCAGCAGCCGCGGUAAUACGGAGGAUUCUAGCGUUAUCCGGAUUUAUUGGGUUUAAAGGGUGCGUAGGCGGGUUGUUAAGUCAGUUGUGAAAGUUUGCGGCUCAACCGUAAAAUUGCAGUUGAUACUGGCAGCCUUGAGUGCAGUAGAGGUAGGCGGAAUUCGUGGUGUAGCGGUGAAAUGCUUAGAUAUCACGAAGAACUCCGAUUGCGAAGGCAGCCUGCUGGACUGUAACUGACGCUGAGGCUCGAAAGUGUGGGUAGCAAACAGGAUUAGAUACCCUAGUAGUC